GGAGCUAUGCUUCAGGAAGCCUGAGCAGCAUGACCUAUUUGGGAGUAUAUGGGCUUGCAUGCAACUCCAGAGCCCUGCCUUCCAUGACCAGCUGCAGUGCUGGCUGGCUGUGUGAAUCUAAAAUGCCUCUGUCAUGCUGUUUGUGCAGCCAGCUGAGCAACAGUACCUGUCAGGUGAUGGGAUCCACUGGGAAAAUGCUUUCCUGUGUGCAAAAGGGAACAAACAGAAACAUGUGACAAGGCUUACUGGAAUGGAAACAAGCUGCAGAAGAUAACCCAGGUGAUGAAGCUAACCGGCCCACAAACCUAGAGCUACAAGAAUGGAACCUGGGCAGGAUGACAGCUGCACCGUGAGAACAAGCUGCAAGCUGUUGUCCCCCUGCUGCCUUUGGGUGGCUUGAGAAGGUCCAGGCCAGGGGAGCUGAGGAUGUGAGGCUCUCAGGUUGUUGUCUCCUUGGUCAGUGCAGUGAGAGCAGUGUGAAAGAGAAGGCAGUGCUGUGCCUGGAAUGGUGUGUACCAAGGGUAUGUACCCAACAAUGGGUUCCCGAAGUGCUUUUCAAACCCACUGGUCAUGUUGCACUUGGUAAAUGUGUGUGGUAAGAUGUGCCUUCCCCAAAGCUUCAACAGGGAAAAAAGAGGAGAAUCAGGUAUUUCCUUCUUGUGAAACUGAUGAGGUGGAAAUCAAAUGUGGUUCUAUGCCAACCUGCGUGCAGAUGCCCUCACCUGGGAGUGCUUAUCAGAAGGAUGUUACUUGCUUUUCCUUGUCAUGUGCAACAUUUGGAUUAUGUUUCGCCUUUGAACUCAGUGAUAUCAUGUAUGAAAUGUCUCCCUGGUGCAGUCAGCUUUCCCUGAUGCAUCUGAGGAUUUCCUGCUGGCUGAGACUGCAUUUCCCUGUUUUGUUUGUUCUGUAUAUGCCUGUGCUUUUGCAGUGCAGGGUUAUUUCAGGCAGAACAAGGCAUCAUCUCCGGAGGAUGGCAUUUGUGGCUGUCAUUUGUGAAGACUGAUAUGAUUGUUCACUAGGGCUCAUAAUGUGCUUUAAAGCCAGACAGGACAGCAUGUGAGUUAAUGUUGCUCUUGGAUAUUCUUGUCCCUUCCCCACGCUGGUCCCUGCCUUAUGCUCACAAAGUUGUACAAACUGUAUUCCCAUCUGUUCAGCUUUGUGGACAUGGAUCUGAUUGCUUUCCCGUGUUGGGUUACAGUGACUCUCCACUGAGCCUGUACCCACAUCCUACCCCUUCCUUCUCUGUAAGCUGGCUGAAUAACAGGGUUUUGAUUU
ensembl:lncRNA